GACAGAGGGUGCAAACGUUGUUCGGAAUUACUGGGCGUAAAGCGUGUGUAGGCGGCCUUGCAAGUCGGAUGUGAAAGCCCCGGGCUCAACCCGGGAAGUGCACUCGAUACUGCAGGGCUUGAGUAUCGGAGAGGUUGGUGGAAUUCUCGGUGUAGAGGUGAAAUUCGUAGAUAUCGAGAGGAACACCGGUGGCGAAGGCGGCCCCCUGGUUCGAUACUGACGCUGAGGUGCGAAAGCGUGGGGAGCAAACAGG
rnacentral:rRNA from 1 species